AUGUCCGGUUCGCUUCCCGGGUGUAGUGUUUCCUGUAGUAGGCCAGCGAGAAUGUUCGGUGUCGGUGAGUAGUUUCUUGGUUCAGAACUUCAGAGCUCGGUGAGUAGUUUUUACAUGCUUCAGUUGUUCAGACUUAGAAGCAGCUUACCAGGUUGCCAACUGCCAUUGCUUCCGAAAGUAUGUGCAUAGCAUCCCUCUGCGUUAGUUUUACGAGUGUUGGAGUAAAUGGGGAGUGAUCCCACUUUUGAAGUUCCUAUAGAUGCAAGUAGAUGUUCUGAAGGUGUAGGUGAAUUUCCAUGUGCUUUGGUCAACUAAAAGCUACCAGAGGGCCUGCUUCUGUUUGGAACAAAUAUGCACAUGAAUUCGGCCUAGCUAAACAUCGAUCUGGAACAGGGGAACUUCUAUUGAUUACUGAGCCUUAAUUUUGCAACUCAUACUGGUUCAUUUAACAGAAAACGUGUCUAUUCAGAUAUGUUAUUUGGAAAAAAAAUACUAGACAACUCAUAUCUCGUGUUAAGUGCUACAAAAUUAUAGUUCACUGCAUAAUCAGGGGGGAAAGCAAUAUGAACUGAGGAGAAAGCAAGAUGAACUGCUAGAUGCACACCUUAGUCAGGAACCGUGCUAUGGUAUGAUCAUAGUUAACAUAGAAAUCUUGAAGGGUCUUUGCUGCUGCCCUCUCCGUGCAAAUAAUAUAUAAACCUUUUGAUAAGAUGUGAUCACCACUGGAUAAGUUUGAUAGUUUAUGUAGAAAUAUACUAAUAUGGUGGUAACAAGCAUAAAAUAUUAUAUUCUGAAAGUAUAUUGUAUAAUAGUAUUAGUAUAUUCACAUGAUUUGUAGAAGCAGUUUUGUACUUGUUUGAUUUUUUUAAUACUUUUUUACAGUCCACGUUAUGCAACUUUGACCUCUCCUUUUAAUAACUUCACAUAAAUACAUGUGAAUACCUUUUGUUUUUAUGAAAGCAUUUUGAAAGACAAAUCAGUUAGUAUAAUUUCAUAUAGCUAAUUGAUAGUUUUAGAUACAUUAUUAGUGAUCAAGCUAGUUUGCUGGCUUGGACUCAGCGACAAUAAACAUAAGAAUAAAAGAGCGAGUAUAUAUUGGCUGUCAAAAAUCAAAAUUAAGGAAACUGUUAUAUAUUUUAGGAUGGAGGUAAAAUAAUGUAUAGGCUCAUUCCCAAUUUCCAGUGUUGAUAUGACUAAGAAGUAAAAUUAAGGACUUUUGUAUAAGGAAGAUGGUCAAAUCCAAUCAAUACUCUAUUUUGGAAGGCAAUGUUCAGCUUAUGCUUGAAGUGCAGACCUCAUUAACAAUUGUCUAACAUUCUUAUUUUAGACACUUAGUCAUAAAACAAUACCAAGUUGUUCGAGAAACCAACGGGGCAAAAAACAAAAAGUUGGUUGACACAUUAGUAAUAUAUCAUUUUUUGUUGAAAUUUAAAACUGGUCAAUAGAUGAAAACGAAAUAGCUGACAUCCUUGCAGAAGGAGCUAUAAAGUUUCCAGAUGAUGAAGUAUAAGUUACUUUCUCUGUUGUCAUGGAUGAGGGGGCACUGCGCACUGUAAGCAAACUGGCUAUCUGGCCUUCAUUAACCAAGUUUUUGUAUAAUCGCUAGCACCAAAUGAAAUUUUAGGGUGGUGUACCUUUAAAAAAAUAAAGUGUCAAUCUGUGAAAUAAAGAAAAUAAUUCUGGCAGGAUAAGGCUUCGGUAUUACUGUUAAUUCACUGAGCCAGAUACUCCCUCCGUUCUUUUUUAUAUGACACCAUUGACUUUUUUCUUCAACUUUGACCAACAUUAUUUGAUUAAUCGGUUAGUUAAAUGAAGUGAAAUGAGUACCUUUACGUCUAUUAUCAAGAGUCUCUUAAAUCUAACUUGAAGAUUUGACUAUUUGCAUAAAUAUUUGUAGAAAAGAUGAAUAGUCAAACGAAGAAAAAAAGUCAAUGGUGUCAUAUAUUUAAGAACGGAGGGAGUACGUAGCAGUUGUGACUUAUAGAUUUAUGCCCAUGGACCACGCUAACUGAUUGCAAAUUUCCAAUGAGGUUACAUUUCAUUUGCACAAGUUGCUCAAUGGUUCCUUGUAACCUGGGAUAUUCUAUUUUUAAAAAUUAUGGUUCAUGUUGUAUAUCAUUGUUUUUCAGAUGUGAUAUAAGUACUCAUUUUCGAAGAUAUAUAUGUUUGCUAUUGCUUUCAAAUUCAAAUGAUUUCUUGUCAGGACUCAGGAAUGCAUGAUCAGUUGUGAUGUGUAAUACUACAACAAAAUGAUAGAGCAAAUCUAUUUCCUUUGUCAAAUGAUUAAGGGUUCAAACUUGUGCUAUCUACUUCUAGACAUUCAUGUAUAACCUGUGGGCCAUGCGCUAGUUUUACAUUGCCGUCCAACAAAGUUAUAGCAUAAGAAAUCUUGCUUCAGUAUUUCAAAAGUGAGGGCCUGCUAUCAUGCCAUGCCUUGGCCUGUGGUUGCUAGCCACAACCAGAACAUUCAAGUCUUCCUUUUCUGUAUCGUAUCUGAACAAAUUAGUUUUUGCUUGUGUUACCUGGGAUGUGGAAUGAGUGAAAGUGCUAAGAUCGAGAAAAUAAUCUAACAUAAUGCUUGCACCUCCUUUAAGCGCUUUGGAACCGUGAGAGGUUAGGUUAUGUGGUUAACAAAGGACAAAAGAGAGAAAUAGAAGCAAAUGUGCAUGCACGCCUUAAAUUUGCAACAACAAAUCUAGGAAACACCAACUCUAUACUAAAAUGGGGCUAUGCUCUUUGAGUCUUUGUGCCUAUCUUUUUCAUUUCCUACAAGGCUUUGCACUAUUAUCAAGUUUUUGUCUGCUUAGUAAAAGAAAGGGGGAUGGAGGAUGAACUUCAGUCUUGAUUACUAUGAAAAACUGAAUCAACAUUUACAAGUUACAAUUUCAUGUGAUUGUUAUAUGGCAGAUUUGCUCUGUCCAGAGCAAGAGAAUGAAAAGUGAUGUAUGCUAGGUAAAUGUUUGAAAGCAAACCUAUGCUCCUUCAGAAGUCUCAGUGACAAUAUCUCCUGUGUAUUCUGGUGUUCUUUAUCUACUGCAAACGUGGUGCAACUAAUUUAUGUCAUUUCCUUUGUUGAAAAAAGUGUUAUGUAUUUCUCUUCAGAACGAAAUCAUAUCUCUUGCAACAAAACGGUGGCCUGGUGGACCAAUUGUGUCAUUAUGAAUGCAAGAUCCUUGACAACUCUAGCUAGGACUUGAGACCUGUCUAGCAUGGGUGCUUUCGCAGAAAGGAUUUCAGAGGGCAGGCUUGAGGGAGACCAUAGACGCUGACCAGUCCAAUGAACAGGCACUGGAAUGGACCGUCAGCUGGAAAUUCGAUCGGAAUCCAGAAUCCAUCAAACAAGUGCACCCAUUCAAAAGGGCUUGGAAAUAUCCUCUAGACUCUGGUUCUUGCUGGCGAGAAGGCAACAAAAGUUGGAGCUGAAGUGUGCUGCGAAAACGAAGCCUCCAUUUUCGUUGCUUUUGACAGGGUCAGUGACUAGUUUUUCAGGCCGGCAGUGUGUUGUCCCCUUGUGAAUCGGUCGGGAUAACUUAGAAUAGCUUGGCCAAUGCAAACCGACCAUUGUUAAAAUUCACUGGCCUCAUCUAACAUAGUGUUUUGUUUUUUU